CACGUAGGGUGCAAGCGUUUGUCCGGAAUUAUUGGGCGUAAAGGGCUCGUAGGCGGUCCGUCACGUCGGGAGUGAAAACUCGGGGCUCAACCCCGAGCCUGCUUUCGAUACGGGCGGACUAGAGGUAGGUAGGGGAGAACGGAAUUCCUGGUGUAGCGGUGGAAUGCGCAGAUAUCAGGAGGAACACCGGUGGCGAAGGCGGGUCUCUGGGCAGUAACUGACGCUGAGGAGCGAAGCGUGGGGAGCGAACAGG
rnacentral:rRNA from 1 species